CGGACCGGCGCACGGGUGAGUAACGCGUAUGCAACCUGCCCGUUUCAGCGGGAUAACCCGGAGAAAUCCGGCCUAAUACCGCAUGUGGCCGAGGGGAGGCAUCUUCUUUCGGCCAAAGGAGGCGACUCCGGAGACGGAUGGGCAUGCGUGACAUUAGCUAGUUGGCGGGGUAACGGCCCACCAAGGCGACGAUGUCUAGGGGUUCUGAGAGGAAGGUCCCCCACACUGGUACUGAGACACGGACCAGACUCCUACGGGAGGCAGCAG
rnacentral:rRNA from 1 species